GAUGAACGCUGGCGGCGUGCCUAAUACAUGCAAGUCGAGCGAACGGACGAGAAGCUUGCUUCUCUGGUGUUAGCGGCGGACGGGUGAGUAACACGUGGAUAACCUACCUAUAAGACUGGGAUAACUUCGGGAAACCGGAGCUAAUACCGGAUAAUAUUUUGAACCGCAUGGUUCAAAAGUGAAAGACGGUCUUGCUGUCACUUAUAGAUGGAUCCGCGCUGCAUUAGCUAGUUGGUAAGGUAACGGCUUACCAAGGCAACGAUGCAUAGCCGACCUGGGAGGGUGAUCGGCCACACUGGAACUGAGACACGGUCCAGACUCCUACGGGAGGCAGCAGUAGGGAAUCUUCCGCAAUGGGCGAAAGCCUGACGGAGCAACGCCGCGUGAGUGAUGAAGGUCUUCGGAUCGUAAAACUCUGUUAUUAGGGAAGAACAUAUGUGUAAGUAACUGUGCACAUCUUGACGGUACCUAAUCAGAAAGCCACGGCUAACUACGUG
rnacentral:rRNA from 1 species